rnacentral:pre_miRNA from 1 species
UGUUAAAAAUUUUAUCUUUUUAUACUAUUAAAUAUUAGUGUGAUUGAUAGAAUAACAAGACACUGACACGUGGCGUGUCAUGUUUAUUGCAUGUUGACAUACAAAUAUUAAUUUUUAACAAUAGAAUUAAAUAAAAUUUUUAACU